UACGAAGGGGGCUAGCGUUACUCGGAUUGACUGGGCGUAAAGGGCGCGUAGGCGGUUUUGUAAGCCGGAUGUGAAAUCCCCGGGCUUAACCUGGGAAUGGCAUUCGGGACUGCAAGGCUGGAGUGCGGCAGAGGAGACUGGAAUUCCUGGUGUAGCAGUGAAAUGCGUAGAUAUCAGGAGGAACACCGAUGGCGAAGGCAGGUCUCUGGGCUGACACUGACGCUCAUGCACGAAAGCGUGGGGAGCAAACAGG
rnacentral:rRNA from 1 species